rnacentral:siRNA from 1 species
AGUGUAGCUGUCAAGUAGCCUA